CAGGAAAACGAGUGUUUUCCUGGCACUAUAGUGGUCCUUUAAAGGACCACUAUAGUGCCAGGAAAACAUACUUGUUUUCCUGGCACUAU
rnacentral:miRNA from 1 species